rnacentral:rRNA from 1 species
UACGGAGGGGGCUAGCGUUGUUCGGAAUUACUGGGCGUAAAGCGCGUGUAGGCGGCAAUACAAGUCGGAUGUGAAAUCCCGCGGCUUAACCGUGGAAGUGCACCCGAAACUGUAUCGCUAGAGUCCCGGAGAGGAUGGUGGAAUACUUGGUGUAGAGGUGAAAUUCGUAGAUAUCAAGUGGAACACCGGUGGCGAAGGCGGCCAUCUGGACGGUGACUGACGCUGAGACGCGAAAGCGUGGGUAGCAAACAGG